GUGAAAGUGUGAACCCAUUGGAAAAUUUUGGAAUUUGUGUCUUGUCAUGAACCUCUUCGAUCAGCUUCCCAAUCUCAUUUUCCAGGACUCAGAGCUAUUGCAGGAGGACUCUAAAUUCAUGGUCUUUUAGGACUACUCCACAUUUGUCACUAACAAACUCAACUAUUUCAACUCUAUUUGGAGGAAGAUGGUGAUGAAAAUGUUAUUG